rnacentral:misc_RNA from 1 species
GAUGAAGAACGCAGCGAAAUGCGAUAAGUAAUGUGAAUUGCAGAAUUCAGUGAAUCAUCGAAUCUUUGAACGCACCUUGCGCUCCUUGGUAUUCCAAAGAGCAUGCCUGUUUGAGUAUCAUUAAAUUAUCAACUGUACCAAUUUGGUUGCAGAUUGGAUGUGGGAGAUUUUGCAGGCUUUUGAUUUCUCUUUGAGAAAACGGUCAGCUCUCCUGAAAUAUAUUAGCAGUGCCUUUGUUGGUUCAUUAGGUGUGAUAAUUUAUCUACAUCUUCACAUGGUACCUUCAUUUGUUUAAAGGUCAUAUUGCUUCUAAUUGUCUUUGGACAUAAAAAAAAAAAACAUAUAAUUGUAUGGAAAACUUGAUCUCAAAUCAGGCAGGACUACCCGCUGAACUUAAGCAUAUCAAUAAGCGGAGGA